rnacentral:rRNA from 1 species
CGGGGUGCAGCAGGCGCGAAAACUUUACAAUGCCGGCAACGGCGAUAAGGGAACCUCGAGUGCCAGGUUACAAAUCUGGCUGUCGUGAUGCCUAAAAAGCAUUGCAUAGCAAGGGCCGGGCAAGACCGGUGCCAGCCGCCGCGGUAACACCGGCGGCUCGAGUGGUAACCGCUAUUAUUGGGUCUAAAGGGUCUGUAGCCGGCCGGGUAAGUCUCUUGGGAAAUCUGGCAGCUUAACUGUCAGGCUUUCAGGAGAUACUGCCUGGCUCGAGGCCGGGAGAGGUGAGAGGUACUUCAGGGGUAGGGGUGAAAUCUUGUAAUCCUUGAAGGACCACCAGUGGCGAAGGCGUCUCACCAGAACGGACCUGACGGCAAGGGACGAAAGCUAGGGGCACGAACCGGAUUAGAUACCCGGGUAGUCCUAGCCGUAAACGAUACUCGCUAGGUGUCGGCCACGGUGCGACCGUGGUCGGUGCCGUAGGGAAGCCGUGAAGCGAGCCACCUGGGAAGUACGGCCGCAAGGCUGAAACUUAAAGGAAU